ACAUCCAGAGAAUUUAGCAGNGAUGCUUUAGUGCCUUCGGGAACUCUGAGACAGGUGCUGCAUGGCUGUCGUCAGCUCGUGUUGUGAAAUGUUGGGUUAAGUCCCGNAACGAGCGCAACCCUUAUCCUUUGUUGCCAGCACGUAAUGGUGGGAACUCAAAGGAGACUGCCGGUGAUAAACCGGAGGAAGGUGGGGAUGACGUCAAGUCAUCAUGGCCCUUACGAGUAGGGCUACACACGUGCUACAAUGGCGCAUACAAAGAGAAGCGACCUCGCGAGAGCAAGCGGACCUCAUAAAGUGCGUCGUAGUCCGGAUUGGAGUCUGCAACUCGACUCCAUGAAGUCGGAAUCGCUAGUAAUCGUAAAUCAGAAUGUUACGGUGAAUACGUUCCCGGGCCUUGUACACACCGCCCGUCACACCAUGGGAGUGGGUUGCAAAAGAAGUAGAUAGCUUAACCUUCGGGAGGGCGUUUACCACUUUGUGAUUCAUGACUGGGGUGAAGUCGUAACAAGGUAAGCGUAGUGCU
rnacentral:rRNA from 1 species